rnacentral:lncRNA from 1 species
AAUAGGUGGAGUUCAGAGAUAGGUAGGGUAGGAGGAGAAGGUUUUCUGAUCUAGGAGUUUCUCAUUCAUAAGGUGGUUGGGAUAGAGGUAAAUAGCUGAAAAAGAAGUGAGGGAGUUCUAGUUCCUUCUCUACUUCUAGCUCUUCUUACCUGAGGUAGUUAAGUGAUAGACAUCAACAAGGUGUUGAUAAUUUUCGGGCUUAGGGUACCCAAUCUCAGGCAAG